rnacentral:rRNA from 1 species
CCUACGGGGGGCUGCAGUGAGGAAUAUUGGUCAAUGGACGCAAGUCUGAACCAGCCAUGCCGCGUGCAGGAAGACGGCUCUAUGAGUUGUAAACUGCUUUUGUACGAGGGUAAACGCAGAUACGCGUAUCUGUCUGCAAGUAUCUUACGAAUAAGGAUCGGCUAACUCCGUGCCAGCAGCCGCGGUAAUACGGAGGAUUCAAGCGUUAUCCGGAUUUAUUGGGUUUAAAGGGUGCGUAGGCGGUCGGAUAAGUUAGAGGUGAAAUCCCGAGGCUCAACUUCGGAAUUGCAUCUGAUACGGUUCGGCUAGAGAGUAGUUGCGGUAGGCGGAAUGUAUGGUGUAGCGGUGAAAUGCUUAGAGAUCAUACAGAACACCGAUUGCGAAGGCAGCUUACCAAGCUACUUCUGACGUUGAGGCACGAAAGCGUGGGGAGCAAACAGGAUUAGAUACCCGAGUAGUC